UUAGUAAUUGUUUUAUAAAUUUGGGAGCUCCAGUGUUGGAUGCAUAUAUGUUUAGGAUUUUGAUAUUUUCCUGUUGGACAAGGCCUUUUAUCCUUAUUCCUCUUUGUCUUUUUAAACUGCUGUUGCAUUAAAGUUUGUUUUGGCUGAUAUGAGCUACCCUUGCUAGCUUUUGGUGUCCAUUUGCAUGAAAUGCCUUUUAUCACCCCUUUACUUUAAGUUUAUGUGAGUCCUUAUGUGUUAGGUGAGUCUCCUGAAGGCAGCAGAUAAUUAGUUGGUGAGUUCUGCAAUUCUGUAUCUUUUAAAUGGAGCAUUUAGGCCAUUAACAUUCAAUGUUAGUAUUGAAAUGUGAGGCACCCUUGCAUUCAUCAUGCUCUUUAUUACCUGCAUACUUUGUUUUUUGUUUUUGUUUUUUAACUUGUAUUUUUGUUUUAUAGGUCCUGUGUGCUUUAUGCUUUAAAGAGAUUCUGUUUUGAUGUGUUUCCAGGAUUUGCUUUAGGAUUUAGAGCUCCUUUUAGCAGAUCUUUUAGUGGUGGGUUGGUAGUGGCGAAUUCUCUCAGUAUUUGUUUGUCUGAUUAAAAACUGUAUCUUUGUUUCAUAUAUGAAGCUUAGUUUCACUGGAUACAAAAUUCUUGAUUGAUAAUCAUUUUGUUUGAGGAGGCUGAAGAUAGGGCCCCAGUCUUUUCUAGCUUGUAGGGUUUCUUCUGAGAAAACUUCUGUUAAUCUGAUAGGUUUUCCUUUAUUGAUUACCUGGUGCUUUUGUCUCACAGUUCUCAUGAUUCUUUUCUUCAUCUUAACUUUAUAUAACCUGAUGUCAGUGUACCUAGGCAAUGAUAUUUUUGCGAUGAAUUUCCCAGGUGUUCCUUUUGCUUCUUGUAUUUGAAUGUCUAGGUUUCUAGCAAGGCAAGGGAUGUUUUCUUUGAUUGUUCCCCUAAAUAUGUUUUUCAAACUUAGAUUUCUCUUCUUCCUCAGGUCAUCAAUUAUUCUUAGGUUUGGUUGUUUAACAUAAGCCGAGACUGUUUGGAGCCUUUCUUCCUUAUUUAUUUAUUUUUUUAGUCUUUGUUGGAUUUUGUUAAUUUGAAGACCUUGUCUUUAAGCUCUGAAUUUCUUUUUUCUACUUGUUCAGUUCUAUUGCUGAGAUAUUCCAGAGCGUUUUGCAUUUCUAUAAGUGUGUUAAUUGUUUUCUGAAGUUUUGAUUUCUUUUUUUAUUUGUGCUGUUUUCUUGAAUGUU